rnacentral:rRNA from 1 species
AUUGAACGCUGGCGGCAGGCCUAUCACAUGCAAGUCGAGCGAGCGGCGGACGGGUGAGUAAUGUAUGGGGAUCUGCCUGAUGGCGGGGGAUAACUACUGGAAACGGUAGCUAAUACCGCAUACCAUCAGAUGAACCCAUAUGGGAUUAGCUAGUAGGUGAGGUAAAGGCUCACCUAGGCGACGAUCCCUAGCUGGGCGUAGAGGAUGAUCAGCCACACUGGUAAGUAGACACGGCCCCAACUCCUACGGUAGGCAGCAGUGGGGAAUAUUGCACAAUGGGCGCAAGCCUGAUGCAGCCAUGCCGCGUGUAUGAAUAAGGCCUUCGGGUUGUAAAGUACUUUCAGUCGGGAGGCGUUACCCACAGAAGAAGCACCGGCUAACUCCGUGCCAGCAGCCGCGGUAAUUC